rnacentral:rRNA from 1 species
AUUGAACGCUGGCGGCAGGCCUAACACAUGCAAGUCGAACGGUAGCACAGAGGAGCUUGCUCCUUGGGUGACGAGUGGCGGACGGGUGAGUAAUGUCUGGGAAACUGCCCGAUGGAGGGGGAUAACUACUGGAAACGGUAGCUAAUACCGCAUAACGUCGCAAGACCAAAGAGGGGGACCUUCGGGCUUCUUGCCAUCGGAUGUGCCCAGAUGGGAUUAGCUAGUAGGUGGGGUAACGGCUCACCUAGGCGACGAUCCCUAGCUGGUCUGAAGGGACGAACCGCCACACUGGAACUGAGACACGGUCCAGACUCCUACGGGAGGCAGCAGUGGGUAAUAUUGCACAAUGGGCGCAAGCCUGAUUCAGCCAUGCCGCGUGUAGGAAGAAGGCCUUCGGGUUGUAAAGUACUUUCAGCGAGGAGGAAGGCGUUGUGGUUAAUAACCGCAGCGAUUGACGUUACUCGCAGAAGAAGCACCGGCUAACUCCGUGCCAGCCGCCGCCGUAA